UGGCGGCGCGCCCGCUCCGCGCGCCCGGUGCUGCCCGGUCCCCGGCCCGCCGCCCCCGCUGCGCUCGCCGCUGGGUCUGGCUGGCUCCGCGCCGGCCACCGCCUCCCCUUCCCUUCCGGCGGGGCGGGGGGCGGAGCCUGCGCUCCCGGGCGCCCACUCCGCACGCGGAGCCGCCCCCCGCACCCGCCGCGGCGGCCGAGCCCCGCCCCCGGCCCAUCGGCACGAUUCACCUCGCCCGGUCCUGAGGUCCCAGGGACGCAGCUGGGGGUGUCCUGGAAUUCACGACUCUGCAGCCCGAGAGAUGGAAUCUUGCUAUGUUGUCCGGGCUGGUCUCGAACUUCUGGGCUCAAGAGAUCCUUCUGUCUCAGUCUCCUAAAUUGUUGGGACUACAGGUGUGAGCCCCCACACCCCGCCAGGUUUCUGAUUUUUAAUAAAGACUCCCUCUGGCUGUGUGAA